AUCCAGAUGAUGAGUCUCAUGCAGGGCGAAAUGUGCAUCCUGGAU
rnacentral:hammerhead_ribozyme from 1 species